rnacentral:sRNA from 1 species
CUGAAGACCAGCCAGAGCCAUGGCUGCAUCUUGGCGCUCUUUGAGACACCUGUUCUCCUCAGGGCUCCGUCAACAGAAAGUGCUGUAUGCCCUGGGCCUUCUUUAUCAGUUUUGAGAUCAAAGCCCCAUCAAGAACUGUGAGGAACAGGAAGACCUGUGGAGGUUGGCAGAGUAGAGGGGCUGAAGACAGAGUGAAGGACGGGAGCAUCAUCAGAAUGGUAGCAAUGGCAAAGGUGGACACAGCUAUU